GACGAACGCUGGCGGCGUGCUUAACACAUGCAAGUCGAACGAAGUGGCGAACGGGUGAGUAACGCGUAAUCAACCUGCCCUUCAGAGGGGGACAACAGUUGGAAACGACUGCUAAUACCGAAUACUGAAGGAGGGGAUUGCGUCGGAUUGGCUAGUUGGAGGGGUAACGGCCCACCAAGGCGAUGAGCAGUAGCCGGUCUGAGAGGGUGAACGGCCACAUUGGGACUGAGACACGGCCCAGACUCCUACGGGAGGCAGCAAGGGGGAAACUUCCGCAAUGGAGGAAAGUCUGGAGGAGCAACGCCGCGUGAGUGAUGACGGCCUUCGGGUUGUAAAGCUCUGUUAAUCGGGACGCGGUACCGGAAUAGAAAGCCACGGCUAACUACGUGCCAGCAGCCGCGGUAAUAC
rnacentral:rRNA from 1 species